CCAGACUCCUACGGGAGGCAGCAGUGGGGAAUAUUGCACAAUGGGGGAAACCCUGAUGCAGCGACGCCGCGUGAGUGAAGAAGUAUUUCGGUAUGUAAAGCUCUAUCAGCAGGGAAGAAAAUGACGGUACCUGAUUAAGAAGCCCCGGCUGACUACGUGCCAGCAGCCGCGGUAAUACGUAGGGGGCAAGCGUUAUCCGGAUUUACUGGGUGUAAAGGGAGCGUGGACGGCAGCGCAAGUCUGAAGUGAAAUGCCGGGGCUUAACCCCGGAACUGCUUUGGAAACUGUGCAGCUAGAGUGCAGGAGAGGUAAGCGGAAUUCCCGGUGUAGCGGUGAAAUGCGUAGAGAUCGGGAGGAACACCAGUGGCGAAGGCGGCCUACUGGGCUUUAACUGACGCUGAGGCACGAAAGCGUGGGUAGCAAACAGGAUUAGAUACCCCCGUA
rnacentral:rRNA from 1 species